UUUUUUUUUCCUCUGUCCAGCGGCACCUCAGCCCACCUCUGCUAAUGGACGACCAGGCAUCCCUUCAAUUCCUGGUGGAUUGAACCCUAUAGGACAAGUAAUCACAUAUUCGUGCCUCCCUGGCUUUACAUUUACAAGUGGCACUAGCAGCACAAUCGUAUGUGGUGCUUGUGGGGUUUGGUCAGGUGGAGCACCUGCUUGUAUUGCAGCAUGUGGCCAACCACCUGCCACCAGUGUUGGUCUCACCUAUGCUCUAGUUCCCAGCAGCGGCAUAAAUCCAACAAUAUUUCCAUCUGGUUCAGUUGUAGCGUACACAUGCUCUUCCCCACUCUUGCUGUUUGGUUUUUCUUCAAAUUUAUGUAAUGCUGGUGCAUGGGUAAACGCCUCUCCAACUUGUGGAAGUGGUUGUACCGCCCCUCCUUCCAUUUCAACUGGAU